UACGAAGGGGGCUAGCGUUGUUCUGAAUUACUGGGCGUAAAGCGCACGUAGGCGGAUAUUUAAGUCAGGGGUGAAAUCCCGCAGCUCAACUGCGGAACUGCCUUUGAUACUGGGUAUCUUGAGUAUGGAAGAGGUAAGUGGAAUUCCGAGUGUAGAGGUGAAAUUCGUAGAUAUUCGGAGGAACACCAGUGGCGAAGGCGGCUUACUGGUCCAUUACUGACGCUGAGGUGCGGAAGCGCGGGGAGCAAACAGG
rnacentral:rRNA from 1 species